UUUCAACUGACUCACUCUCUGUGUCUACUUGGGACGAAUCUACUCUUUUUCUUUUGGAAAGAACAUAUUCUUGGAGGGAGCAUUUUAGAGAAUCUGAUGUUCUUCAGUUUCACCACUACUGACUGUAUAAUUACAACUUACAAGGAAGAAUACCCUCUAGAUACUCCAGGACAAAAGUAGAAAAAAGAGUGAGAUGACAAAGGAUGAAAAACUACAUUAUGUCACAAUUCCUGAAAAAUGUCUUCUGGAGCAGCAAUCCUUCAGCAGCAGCUGGAGUAGGUGCCCUGCACAUCAGGCCCACUCCUCUCAGCACUGCCUUCCUGGGGGCUGCAGCCUCACACUGCCCUUUGGCCAGCCAUCAGCACUGCUGCUGCCAACAAUGACCCCAUUCUGUGUGACAGGAAGACCACUCAUACACCAAAAUGCCACAGGUUUCCCAAGACAUGGAGAUGUGCAGAGAGCAGAAGAAAAAUUGGUAUAUGGUGAAAAUGUGAACCUUCCAGUCAUACCUGCAUUUUGCGUGCACCCUCUGCUCCGUUCUCUGCAGUAAUUAAAAAUGUACUAAGUCCUUCAUCAAAAAGAAAAACAUCCCUUGCAAUUAGAAGCCUUAAAUGGACAGCAGGGAAGAUGUGUGGGAAAGAAAAGCACUUCCAGAAGAAAAGGCCACAACUUCCAUGAGUAAAACACAAAUAACCCUUAAACUUCAAAACAAGAGCAAGAAGAGCAAUGUUGAUACUCUUGAAGGUAUCAAGAAAGGAGUGGGUCUGGUUUUGGUAUCAGAAAAAGGCGAGGGAACUGUGAAAAACAACAGGAUGAGCACCCAAAAAAAUAGACAACGUGGAGAGGAGCAACACAAAAUAAACUCAAUUUGAGAGUUUUAAAACAGUUUUUCUCACAUUAAUGAAACCUAUUGUGUCCUGAUAGUUUAACA
ensembl:lncRNA